CCAAAUAAUUUGUUCUUUAUGUUAUGUAGCCCAAAUGGGUUAUUUUAAAAUUCAAAUCACUACAUUUUUUAAAAUAGUGUUGUUCGUUUUUCAAAUGUAGUAUAAUUAUUGUUUGUCCUUUCUUCUUUUUUUUCAUCCUUUCUUCUUGAAGAUGAACAGUGGCCUCAUGGAGUGAUGACCUGACUCACUUGUGAAUUGGAUUUAAAUGAGGCAGAAUUGGAUAGUGAGACUCAUUCUCUUUUCCAGAGUCAUCCAAGUCUAGUGGCAAGACAAAAGUCAGAACAGGACAACUGGUGGAUGCAGUGGAUGACCUUGAUUAAGGAAUUGGGACUGAGAAAUGUGACUUACCCAAGAUACGAGGCUGGAUUCAAACUCAGUUUUUUCCUGACUCCAUGGCCAAUACCUAGACAAGUGAGAAAUGGAGAGAUGAGAGAUCAAGGAACAGCUAAACAGGGUAGAUUCAUGAAAAGGAACAAUGGGAAAUAAGGUUAGAAAGGUCAUGAUAACAAUUCACAUUUCCUUAGCACAUUUAAGUUUGAAAAUCCCUUUCCUUGGCUACCCUUUGAAGUA
rnacentral:lncRNA from 1 species